ACUUAAUGUCAGUUUCCAUCAGCAAUUUGACUGAGGACGUGCUUCAGACGAAGUCCGUGAAGGUGGCUGCAAAAGCCAGCCCGUUUUCUGUCACACCGAAGGAGGCUUCGAGGAGGAAGGAGAGAGGGGAGCAGUCUGCUGCGUAGAAAAUUCAGCCUCAUAAACAAGAGUUGAAGGCCUGCUUUUUGGUAGGUGCUGAGACUGUAGGCUCCACCUCUCCUCCUCUCCACGCUCCUGCUAGCUUCUCCGCCCCGGCCAGACUCGAGGAGGUUCGCCCGGGGUGUUCGCCUAGUGGGAGAAGCAGGUGCUCGACUUCACACAGGCAGGAAGUCCUCGAAACCUUCCUACAGCCAAGGGAGAGGUCCAUCCAUCCAUCCAUCGACUGCUCUGGAAACCUCCCCUGAUACAGAAACUAAGGGUGAGCAAGGUUAAAGGACAGAUCCAGGAGAAAUCCGCCUCCAGAUCCCUACUUCUAACCACAGUGAUACAUAUGUUACUUUUGGAUGCACUUGAAACAAUGCCAUACUCAGAGGAAGUUUUCCAGACGCUUCAGGAAGAAGAGAGAGACUGGCAACUCUGUAAGGGACGUCAUCUGGAGAUUCCAAGAUCCCCAAAGCUGCUGAGGUCUUGUGAAUGACAUGUUCCCAGCCCCUGACCCCCACCCCCGGGCAGACUGCCUGCGUCAGAAUUUCUGGACAGAAGCGACAAACCUCACUAUGUCACAGUUCCCCCAAACAACUCUAAUGCAGCUGAUCCCGGCAUCAACCUCAGGGAGCCUCAGGGUCUGCUCCCUCCAGUUUACAGAACAGGAGACUUGGCAACUGGUUUAGCUCCGUAAGGAACAAGAAUGACCUGGGAAGGAUCUGGUGUGGGCGGAGCUAUGGUGACCAAGGUGCAGGUUCCACUCAGGCAGCUCCUCUCUCAGGUGAUUUUCUAGUGGGCAAGUGUCAGCACUAGUGGUAAACCGUGGGACAUUCAGGCUCCUCUGUAAGCUGGACACGCACAGUGAACACAAGUUUCCAGGAAAGCUCAGACUGAACAUAAAAUAGCAACAGACAGGUGAACUAGAUGCAUGCAGGAUGUCAUAUGAAAUGACAUGAGUCCCCAGGAUACCACCCUACAGACUGAGAUGGACCUUGGGUUGGAAGUCCCAAGGCAGAAAGUUUAGCAUGACAUUUAGGCUGCGUAUGGAGCUCUAUAUACCUUUUAAUUGUCCUUUUAAUUCAUCUUUGUCUAAGAGUAGUUGCUUAGUUUGACCACAAGGUGACGCUAACGAGCUUGGUGGACCUUAGUUGGGGUUGGUUAGACAUUGAGGUCUUUCAAAAGAAAAACUCAAGCUUGCUGCCUUCUUAACAGAUCAAAUCUUACACUUCUUUUCCCUAUUCUGCACUUUCCAAUGUUGGGAGGGGGACUUAACCAUUCACCUAGUAUGACCAUUUCAUUUAUUACCAAAUUUCAUUAUUUUAGAUAAAGCCUCAGGAAACAUACUUAUGCAUAAAGCUUUUCCUGGAUUCAAGAAAUAUUGCUGGAAGCAAACUUAUCACAACUAAACAUUUGUAAGUCUCUUGAUAAAUACACAGCACCAAAUAUGAGAAAAUUUUCAGGAUAUUUUAUGAUAUUAAUUAAAUAAUUAUUGUUCAUUUUUUCUAGAUGGGUUAAUGGUACCAUGGUUAUCUAUUUCUAAAAAGCCUUUCCUAGGGGUGCCUCCCUGGCUCAGUCUGUAGAGCGUGCAAUUAUUGAUCUCAGGGUUGUGAGUUCCAGCUGCACAUUAAGUAUAAAGAUUCCUUAAAUAAAACCUUUUAAAAAAAUAAUAAAGAACUUUUCCUAGAGAUGCAUAAUAAAGUAUUUAUAAGUGAAAUAAUAUUAUCUAGAAUUUACUCAAAAAUAAUCCAGUC